UUGUGUAUUUUAUUUUUUUCGUGUGUGUGUAAAUGCUUUGGUCCUGACAGCUCAUUUAUUUAGUUUGCUGCAGCGCUAUAUAUAGAUCUAAGGGAAUGAAUGCAUGUGAAUUCCGUUCUGUCUCUACCCAGCAGAAAGACAUAAGCGCUGAGGAUCAUUAUUGCUCGGUUUAGACGUGUUUAUUUACCCAGAGGGCACAAAAUUGCCACCCAUUCACGCUUGGCAGUCCAGAUGGCAAUCCAUAAACCGUGCAUGGUUAGGACUGUUUCACUAACAAAUGAAGAAACGGAGUGUAAUUGCUCUCCGCUCUGCAACCUACAAUUCAGUAUUUUUUCCUUUUGCAGCGUCACUCUACAGCAUCUCCUCUGCAGAGCUCUGAUGGCUUUGGACGUUAUCUCUAGAUCUUGACCUUCUUCCCAUUUCACCGUACUGCACGCCGCAGAUGCACCUUUAUAGCCGCCCCACACACCUGACGUGUGAACCUGUUUCCACACGACCCAUCAAGCCGUUCAGCAACACGCCGAAACAAAAGCGCACCUUUUACUCUUAUUAGGGAGAAAUGGAGCGCGCUUUAAUCACCACCAAGAGGGGUGUAAAAAGUUCACAGCGCUGUGUGUGUGAGAGAAUCCGGCAGCGUGCGCGCACACGCACACAUGCGCACGCACGCACACGCACACACACACCUGAGCAUUACUCGAGGAUCUGCUAAAGAACUGCUCAUCUUUCACCAUAUCGCGAUAACAUCGUGCACGAGUUCAUUUAAAAAGAAAGAACAAAGCAAAGCAAAACAAAAAAUGAGAGAAAGAGAGUGGCGACGUGUGCGCGCUUUUCUCUCCGCGCAGUCGCGCGUUAUCGUCUCCCCGAGGCGUUUAGAUGAUUAGAGCGGCUGGGAUUCACCAGCUGUGGCUUCUCGUUGAUCUUUAGCUACUGCGGGAAGCCCCGGUCUAAUGCUUUUAAUCAGUGAUGCUAGGCAGAGGGAAUUUCCUGCAAGACUUGGGGCCACCUGCUAUUCCCAACAGAGCAAAUAGCACCAAAUUGUCUUUCUGUUUGCCUGCCUGCCUGUCUGUCUGUCCGUGUCAGUGUUUAGAAAAACACAUCAUUUGUGUGGUUUGAUGUGCAAUAUAAACUAUCUAGGAAUACUGAAGAACUUUAGUUAUUUAACCUUUAACCAGUAAGCUUUUUAAGGAAAAGAAAAAAAUAAAUACAAAUAUAGCAAUAAAAA